rnacentral:misc_RNA from 1 species
AACGCACAUUGCGCCCGCCAGCACUCUGGCGGGCACGCCCGUCCGAGCGUCGUUUCGCCGCCCGGGCCCCCGCCGCCCGGCGUUGGGGCGCUGCGGCGCAUGCCCGCAGGCCCCCAAACGCAGCGGCGGGCCCGCCGGCGGCCCUGGGCGCAGUAACGCACUGGAGACCGCCCCGGAGGCCGCGGCGCGGCCCCGCCACGCAGGCGCGAGAGCGCGCAACAACAAGGUCGACCUCGGAUCGGGCGGGACCACCCGCUGAACUUAA